UGAGGAAUCUUGCGCAAUGGGGGAAACCCUGACGCAGCAACGCCGUGUGAGUGAUGAAGGUCUUCGGGUCGUAAAGCUCUGUUUGAAGGGACGAAAAGUAUUUGAUUAAUACUCAAAUACUUUGACGGUACCUUCAGAGGAAGCACCGGCUAACUCCGUGCCAGCAGCCGCGGUAAUACGGAGGGUGCAAGCGUUGUUCGGAAUUACUGGGCGUAAAGGGCGUGUAGGUGGCUAAUUAAGUCAGGUGUGAAAUCCUUCCGCUUAACGGGAGAAGUGCACUUGAAACUGCUUAGCUAGAGUACGGGAGAGGAAGGUGGAAUUCCUGGUGUAGAGGUGAAAUUCAUAGAUAUCGGGAAGAACACCGGUGGCGAAGGCGGCCUUCUGGCCCGAUACUGACGCUGAGACGCGAAAGCGUGGGGAGCAAACAGG
rnacentral:rRNA from 1 species